rnacentral:rRNA from 1 species
GAUGAACGCUGACAGAAUGCUUAACACAUGCAAGUCGAUGGGGAAGUGGUACUUGCACCAUGGUAACCAUGGCGGACGGGUGAGUAACGCGUAAGGAACUUGCCUGCGGGACUGGGAUAACAGCAGGAAACUGCUGAUAAUACCGGAUAAGGUCAUUAAGCUGCAUAGCUUAGUGAUGAAAGGAGACGCCUGCGGAGAGCCUUGCGUCCUAUUUGCUAGUUGGAGGGGUAACGGCCCACCAAGGCGAAGAUAGGUAGCUGGCCUGAGAGGGUGGACGGCCACAAGGGGACUGAGAUACGGCUCUUACUCCUACGGGAGGCAGCAUCGGGGAAUAUUGGACAAUGGGGGCAAC